rnacentral:rRNA from 1 species
UGGGGAAUAUUGCACAAUGGGGGGAACCCUGAUGCAGCGACGCCGCGUGAGUGAAGAAGUAUUUCGGUAUGUAAAGCUCUAUCAGCAGGGAAGAAAAUGACGGUACCUGAAUAAGAAGCCCCGGCUAACUACGUGCC